UAGCUUACUGGUAAAGCACUCGUCUAGCAUACAAGACUCGUGGGUUCGAAUCCCAC
rnacentral:tRNA from 1 species